CAACUGCCUCUCAUCUAGAAACAGUCCAGCAAUGGUUCCAACACCAAACUGCCCAACAAUAGGAGGGGAGAAAGGCCAUGGUCAUCACCAUGUGUGGCCUAAAUUACAGAAGAAAUUCAGUGGAAAGGAAAUGCCUACGUAAUUCCUUUACUCUGCUUCUACAGGGAAGAAAACGACCUGAAUGUAUCUUACGAAGACACCAACAAGCGCAAGUUACCACAUUGGCAGCUAUUUUCAUUUUUGUUCCCCAAAUCAAAAUGAAACAAUUGGUAACAAGAAAUUCAAAGUGCAGCAAAGAGGAUAACAAGAAGGAAAAAAUGAAAGACCUUCCUUGAGGGAGGGAGAUAAAGACUAGCCAAAGAGACGACUGACACCUUCACCAGAGACUGGAUUCCAGUCCAAGAAUUGGCACUCGGCAACCACAAAGUACACUCAAAGUCUAACAUAAAAAUAUUGAAUCAGCUACCAUUUUCUGUUAUCUGGUAGUCGCAUUGCAUGGGCUCCCAGAACUGCAAAAGGCCUAUGGAGUUAUUUCUCUACCAAGAGAGCUUCCGUUGCCCAGACGCUACACAAGCAACUAAGCAGACCACAGACCUGAGAGCAGAAAGGUCUGUGCCCUGCUCAUGGAUGAGCCGGGAGACCAUCGUGCUCACAGUAACGACAACACAGUGACACGCUCGUGCCUCCUGGGUGCCCGGAGCUGUCUCUAAGUGUGGAGACGCCUGUUGAGGAACACCCCACGGCUGCUGAAGGACCAGUACAAGUUCCCCGGGCAGGGAAGUGAGGGUGGUGAGGAAGAAGGCAUUCCAGGUCUGAUGAAGGUCCAUUGCUCGAAGUCCACACCCUGAGUCUAUAAAGGAGAGGGUCCUGGAAAACCGGCUUCCCAAGCUAGCACUUGGUGGAGUGCUAGCCAGGUGGAGCCUCGGCGCCCUGGCAACGUCCCGUGUGUCUGCACAGGGAUCCACAGCACCAUCCUCGCCCCCUGAAACCCAGCUCGCGCUGUGUGGCUCUGGCUUCCGCUACUCCAGUAGCUUCACAGUAGAGAAUUAACAUCCUACCACUUUGCAUUUGCCCAAGGGGACCUUACCCAGCUUUUGACGGCUUCUGUAUUUUAGUAAAGUUUCCUUUGCCUCUUUUCUACUAUUCUCUCAAGGUUUGAGUAUUUAUGGUCUACAUGGUGUUCUAAUGACAUUCUCUUCUACAUCAUCCAAGUCACUCUCAAAACAUUAAACAUCACAGACCUAAGAUUAGCACAAUCCCAUAUGACCCUCAAGUGGGCCCUAAAUCACCCAGGCCUCUCAGCAACUUGACUUUCUACUCAGAAAGGAAUUUGUGAAGAAUGAUUCUUUGAUUAUUUUUGUUCGUUUCAUUAACUUUUGGCCAAGGCUGUUUUUAUUUUUCUGUUAUUAGUAACUCGGAUACAAUCCCUUUUUAACUCCUCAUUUAGUUUUAGUACAAAGCAGUUCAUUAACGCAAAACCAAAUCAAAUGUUUUGACUUCCACUCUUUUAUCUUAAUCAAUGUAACAAAAGUAAAAACAAAAAAUACAAAAUCAUGAACAAAACCUGUAUAGAAAUUCGUUAAAUAAAGAGGAAGGGCGAAGAGAGCUUCUUGAA
ensembl:lncRNA